GACGACGCUGGCGGCGUGCCUAACACAUGCAAGUCGAGCGGAGUCGAUCGACGGAAGCCUUCGGGCGGAAGAUGGUUGACUUAGCGGCGGAUGGGUGAGUAACGCGUGGGCAACCUGCCUCGAAGACCGGGAUAACAGCCCGAAAGGGCUGCUAAUACCGGAUGUGGUCAAAGAUCCGCAUGGAUUUUGAUUAAAGGGGAAACCCGUUUCGAGAUGGGCCCGCGUCCUAUCAGCUAGUUGGUGAGGUAAAAGCUCACCAAGGCGACGACGGGUAGCCGGCCUGAGAGGGUGACCGGCCACACUGGAACUGAGACACGGUCCAGACUCCUACGGGGGGCAGCAGUGGGGAAUCUUCCACAAUGGGCGAAAGCCUGAUGGAGCGACGCCGCGUGAGCGAAGAAGGCCUUCGGGUUGUAAAGCUCUGUCUGGAGGGACGAAGGAAGUGACGGUACCUCCGGAGGAAGCCACGGCUAACUACGUG
rnacentral:rRNA from 1 species